rnacentral:rRNA from 1 species
AUGUCUUCCUCGGGCUAUGUUGCAGUUCCUAGGUGCUCCGUGAUCUUCGAUGGCACCAACUAUGCUGAGUUUGUGGGGUUCACGUGCAUCCAUAUGCGUGGUCUUCUUCUGUGGGGUGUUUUUUCUGGCGAGGUUCCCUGCCCGCCAUGUCUUGUUGCGCCUGUGGCCCCAAUCCCACCGGUGCCGCCGGUACUUGCUGCUGAGGCUUCCGAGGCUGACCGGGAUGCCGCCAAGGCCCUUGAUGAUGCUGCAGUUGAUGCCUAUGAUCAGCAGGUAUCUGCUUACUUCGAUGCUCUUUUGGCGUACCGGGAUGAUCUCUCUGCUUACACUCAGUGGUGCAAUGACGAUGCUUGUGCUGCUGCUGUUCUUACUGCCAGUGUCCUCCCUCAGUUUGAUUCGGAGUUCAUGGGACUUGGCAUAGUUGCAGCGAUGUGGUCUUAUCUUUGUCAGCGCUAUCAGCCCUCUGGUGAUACUCUCUAUCUCUCUGUGGUACGUCAGGAGCACGCCCUCCAGCAAGGUGAUUCCUCUGUUGAUGAGUUCUAUUCACAGUGCUCUACCACCUGGCGUCAGCUUGACUCUCUUCGGACAGUUGUUUAUGGCACCUGUCGUUGCUGUCAGACUAAUCGGUCAGAUCUGGACUUUCAGCGGGUCCAUGAGUUCUUAUCUCGUCUCCACUCUGAGUUUGAGCCCAGACAUGCUCACUUGCUUGCUCGUGGUCGUGUUCCAAUCUCGGAGGUGCUUGCUGAGCUUCGUGCUGAGGAGACCCGCCUUCACUCUGCUGGUCUGGUGAUGGUCUCGUUUGUGUUGGCUGCUCGGGCUCCUGUGUCGUCUGCUCGGCUCACCGCUCCACCGCUCCUCCCCACACCUUCAGGGGGGGAAAGCACCAUGAGAAACCUUUCAAGCAUGAUCUCCGCCAUGGCUCCGUGGAGCCACUGGGACACAACCGACCCGAACCCGUGCCUGUGGAGUGGGGUCACUUGCUCUGUGCCGUCUAACCGCCCCGGUUCAUCUGCAGUUGUGCUCCACCUCUCCAUGUCUCGCUUUGGCCUCUCCAACUCCACCGUACUUGCCUGCUUAUGCUCCCUUGACACCUUGGAAUCUCUGGAUCUCUCGAAAAACAGGUUCACCGAUCUGCCACGGCAGCUCUCCUCAUACCUCUUGGGUUCUAGAUUGCGCACGCUCAAUCUGAGCUACGCUCAGUUGCCUGGUCCGCUCGGCGACUUCACUGGUUUCCGCAAACUGGAGGUUCUUGAUUUCUCCUUCAGUUUGCUGAGUGGAAAUGUGGACGAACAGUUGAGUUCUUUGCCCAGAUUGAGAAGCUUGAACCUUAGUUCCAACACACUUGAUGGCAGCCUCCCAACAAAUAUGGUCCACUCUUUGAAGGAACUGGUGUUAUCUAGCAACAACUUCAGUGGCUUGAUACCUAGUGAAAUCACCAUGAAUACCGAGAUGUUGGAUUUGAGUUACAAUAAGCUUAGUGGUGAGAUACCUUCUGAUCUGUUCUUGGCUGCUGGUUUGCAUACCGUUGAUCUCACCGGCAACAUGCUUGAAGGGCACAUACCGCAAGGAUUCUCUCACAGCCUCUAUCGCCUUCAUCUCGGAGGAAACUUGCUCGAUGUGCCCACUGAGAUCAGCAAACUUGAUAGCAUGGCUGUUCUGAAACUGCAAAUGAACAAUUUUGACGGACAUGUACCAAGUGCACUUGUCGAUCUGGUGAACUUGAAUGUAUUGGACCUUAGCCAAAACUCAUUUACUGGAGAGAUACCACAUGAAAUUUUCCAGCUACUGCGGCUUUCAAACAUAUGUUUGCAGGGCAACAAGAUCACUGGCGCCAUUCCAACUUCAAUCAGUUCAUUGCAAUUUCUUAUUGAGCUUCAUCUCGGGGAUAAUGAGCUCACUGGUGUGAUCCCCACAAUGCCGACCAGCUUGAGUGCAAUUCUGAAUCUAAGUCACAACCAUCUCAGUGGAUCUAUUCCUUCAAAUAUUGGCGUUUUGAAGGACCUGGUGAUUCUUGAUAUUUCCUAUAACGACUUGUCUGGCCCGAUACCAUCCUCGCUCGAAGGUUUGCAAAGCUUGACAGAGCUGGUGCUUUCUUAUAAUCAGCUCUCUGGAUCCCUUCCAGCAUUUCGAUCAUCUGUGGCAGUCGAUUCCAGGGGAAAUCCAGAUCUUCUCAACAAUACCGCCAACGCUCCAGACGUGAUGACAAGCACCGAAGAUCACGGCUCGGCUAUAUGGGUUGCGGCAGUUUCAUUUGUGGUUUGCUUCGUCGUCUCUUUCUAUGGGGAUGGGAUCAGAAACGGGUGGCUUACAGGUUGA